AAUAUUGGUCAAUGGAUGGAAGUCUGAACCAGCCAUGCCGCGUGCAGGAAGAAGGCCUUCUGGGUUGUAAACUGCUUUUGCCAGGGGAUAAAAAUUCCAUGCGUGGAAAAUUGAAGGUACCUGGUGAGUAAGCCACGGCUAACUACGUGCCAGCAGCCGCGGUAAUACGUAGGUGGCAAGCGUUGUCCGGAUUUAUUGGGUUUAAAGGGUGCGUAGGCGGCUUAUUAAGUCAGUGGUGAAAUACUCUAGCUCAACUAGAGGGGUGCCAUUGAUACUGAUGAGCUUGAGUACAGAUGAGGUAGGCGGAAUUGACGGUGUAGCGGUGAAAUGCUUAGAUAUCGUCAAGAACACCUAUAGCGAAGGCAGCUUACUAGGCUGUAACUGACGCUGAGGCACGAAAGUGUGGGGAUCAAAC
rnacentral:rRNA from 1 species